UCGGAUCUCAACAGAUCCAUUCCCAUUUGGAUGAGCGCAGUGAUAAAUUCUCAUCCCUUCUCUCAUUCUCUGUUCCUCACCCUCUUUCUCUUUCAAUCCCUCACUGUUAAUCAGGUAUCUUUUUUUUCUCUUUAAUUUUUGUUGCUUCAUUUCUGCUUUUAAAAUACGCAUCUUCAUUUCGUCAAUUAUUAUUAUUUUUUUUGCACAUUUUUUUUCGGUUUCGGAACAAUUCGAUUUUAUCGUUUCUUUGAUAUAUUGUAUUAAUUAUUGUUUCUUUAAAUUAUUUUUACCAUUUAUCGAAUUCUUUCCUGAGGUUGAUGGUGUUUGUUCAUCCAUUUGUUUUAAGUUUCGGUUUAUUUUUGGGUCAUCAGUCAGUGGAGUCAGAUUAUUGCUUAUAAUUUAUGGAAUUUUUUUUUAUAUUUUUCUUUGGUAUGAAUGAUGACCCUUUUCUUUAAUUUAGACCCAGUUUUUAUUUUGUUUUAUAUUAUUUUGUUUUAUUUAUUUUAAAUAGCUAUUAUGCUUUCACUUGAACGUGACUCGGUUUAGUUCACUUUAGCUUUAAAGUUGCUUGUCUUUGCAUCUUGUAAAUGGUGUGCAACCCUACAAUGUUUGUCUUUGCUUUACCUUAGGGGUCGUUUUAGUAAUUUACGUAUGCUUCCAACUCAAGCCAUCUUAUGGAGUUUUGCUUGUGGCUUUCAGAAAUUGGAUAAGCUGGUUUUAUAGGUUUUUCUUUCAAUCUGUGACCUCUUGAGUCUAACCUUCAUUUGCUGUUGAUAGACAAAGUACCUGAAAGCGAUUACUGCUUUUGUGUUAUGUGCCAGAGCUGAGGAAAUUAGUUCCUUGUCCAUUGCUUUUGAGUAGAACCUGUGGUCAAUUGGUCAUGAGUUUUGAUAGUACCAUGCUUCACUUCUUUUCAUAUCACGGUUUAUUAAAGCCAGAGUCAAUGCUAUGUAGCUUAACUUUGUUGAUAUGGAUACAACACGUUGGCCUAUUUUCCAAUCUCAGGUAUCUGUCUGGAUUUUUCAGUUUUUUCUCAUGCCUGAAAGUGCUCUUGUUAUAAAAUGAAAAGUAUUCAUUGUGGGGAACAAGUUAAAAAUUUCCGAUUUCCAAAAAAUUUGAAUUUGGAAGCAGGAUUUGUUGGUUCUUUAUCAGACACCAUAGUUAUUGAACUUUACAAGUUUGUUUUUAUCUCCCUUUUUUCUUGCUUAUAAGGCUGUGUUUUAAAUGAAUACUAAGCUUUAGAUUUGUCCUGUUGGUUGAAUUUUAGAUUUGUGCCAUUUAAGAUUCUAUUUAUUUAAUUUUCUUUUCAAAUUGAAAAUGAAAUUGGUUAUUUUUUACUAUGUAGAAAUGAGGAUAGAGUACCCCUGACCUGACAUGUUUAUCUAUGCCACAAGCUUAAAACCACUUCGUUUACAUGACCAUAUUUUGUUCUUAGCAUUUGUGGAAAAUGUUGAGUUUCCCUUUGAUGCUUGGUGCAACUUUUGAUGAAUAGCUUUAUUAAUUUUGGUUGAAGUAAAGAAGCCAAACUUUUUGGCAAUGUGCAAUAUUUGCGACACUUUGUUGCAUAUGGUUGGAGGAAUAACUCUUUCAUUUUUAGAAUAUCUCUUUGGAUAAGCAACUUUUGGGAUAAGAUUUGGUGUUUGGCUUCUGUAUGGUGUAAAACAGAUGGACCUUUUUCCUUCCAUAUAUGAUGAAGGUUUGCAUUGUUUUGCUUCAUUAAUGUCUUCUUUAAUGUAUGCUUUUUCUUUUCUUUUCUUUUAAUGAGGAUCUCUUAUCCCCUUAUCCCUUUGUACUCUUCUCCAUUGUCUUUUUGAUUUUCUUCUCUUACUAAUUUUUUUUUUUUUGGGUUAAAGCAUAUUUCGUACACCCACUCAAUGUGAAGGUUGCAUUCAAGUAAUAUUUUCCACUGUCUUCUUGGCAAUCAUUUUCCUAUUAAAUAUUGUGGGAUAAAGUGUUUUUGUGUAUUUAUAGCAUAUGAAUAUUGAGAGUUCUUAUGUAACUAAUGGAGGAGCUUUCAUAUUAGUGUCAUUCAUAUUUAUUAGAUUACUGGUUUAUGGAAUAUUUCUUGAUCACUCUUUAUGAUUCAAAAUAAAGGAAAUGGAGGAGGAUAUGGAAAUUGAUCAUAUUGUGGAUAUUCCUGAUACCCCAGAUAGAAUAAUUUACGAUCAGAAAUAUUUCAGUAAUCCUGAGAAGAGGGAGAGGGGUUUUACUUUUGCAGAUGAAAUGAAUAAUGGCCGCAACUAUAUAAAUUUGUCCCCAUCAGAGAAAUCUUGUCCUUCUCAAAAUGCUCCCAUCUUUAGGAGAGCUCAAACUGAGAAAUUAUCUGGACUUGGGACAACACAUUUGAAUGGAACUGAAAAGAUGGAGAAAGGGAAAGCUAUAGGCUCUAAGUUUCCUUCUAAAUCAUCUCGCCAUGGGCCUAUUUCUGUUUUAGAUUUGACUGAAGAGAAUGGACAAUUCCAACAACUGAAACCAGCUUUAUCACAUCAUGGAUCAAGAUAUAAUGCAACUGAAGACAAGAAAGAAUCAAAAGCAAGUAUUGGGAACUCUUCAUUACCAUUUUAUGCUGAUUCUUCUAAUACAUCUAGAAAUGCCUUCACUGGAAAGGGUAAACUAGAUAAUAAAACACUUCCAGGCCCUAAAGUAUCUGUGGACCGUGGCAAGAGUAUUUCUCUGCCUAAUGAUUCUCAGUCUCAAUCACCAAAUGAAAAGCAAGUGUCUUUGCCUCCUUGUCUUUCCACUGCUCCACAAUGUAGAGGGCACAAGAGAUUGGUACGAAAUGGGUGCAUUUCACCUCAUAAUAUUGCAACUAGGGCAAAGCAAUCAGCUAAACAGAGCAGCCAUCAGACCAAAAGUGUUGAACAGAGUCAAGCUGGGCAUUCGGUUUCUAGCAAUACUGUAUCGCUGAUUAGUGUUGAUGAUACAGUUGCUGAAGAGAGAGGCAGUGGUAGAGCAAAAGGAAAGGAAGUACUUACUCAUCCUUCAUCACAUGGACUUCAUGCCACAACUUUUCACACCAACAGCAGCCCUGUAAUCAACUGCGAAGAGGCCAACAGUACCCUUAAUGCUUUAAGAAAUUCAUUUCAAUACACUGAGGGACAAGGUGGUUGGAGAACUACACAUAAUGAAAGAAAUGCUGAUCAACAAUUGUACAAUGUAAAUGGGCUUCAUUCAAGAAGGAAUUGUGAUACUGGAAGAUUUAUUAAUAGACGAAAUAUCAGCAUAAUGGACAAAAGAAACACUGGGAACAGUCAAAGCAGCAAUGAUGUUCAUACUUCUCUAUUAGAUCAUAGUGCUCAACCAACUUCUGUGAUCAUUCCAGAUGUAGACCAGUCAACUGGAACCCAUCAUACUGCUGACAUUCUGACUAAAAGGCAAAGAAAACGGGAAUCACCUUCAGGAAAUCCUAAUGAUGCAUCUUAUAGUUAUAAUUCAGAGGUCAUGUUCCUCAGUUCGUCUGGGGAAUCAUCUAGCUCAUCCCGGAGCCCUGUCUUGGAUCCUGAGGUGGUUGAGUUGUUAUCUACACCAGGGUUUGCCAACAGAUCAUCUGAAGAUGUAGAUGACAAUGACAAAAAUAUUUUGGAUGCUCGGGCAAGACAAGUAGAAGCAGAUGAGAUUUUGGCACGUGAACUCCAAGAACAACUGUAUCAUGAUGAUUUUUUUGAAGGCAGACAGAUUGAUGAACAUUUAGCAUGGGAGCCGCAGCAUGCAGAGGAUCUUCUGCAUACAUCUAUUGAUAGUCACGAUAUAUAUCAUCCUACAUGGUUUCCAAGGGCAAACAGACAGCCUCGUUCACGGUCUCAUCAAAAUCCUUCGAAUAGGAGGAGAAAUGUGCCACAAGCUUCUUUCUCUAAUAGAAUGUUGCAGUCGAGGAGUCGCAUUGCAAAUCAGCCACCUAUCAUAUCAUCUAGAGGAAGACGCCCCCAAUUUCCUCUGGAUAUGGACUUAGACAUGAGACUUGAUAUAUUGGAAGCUUUAGAGGAUGCUGUAGGGGAUUUCAGUGAUAUGGGAAUGGCUGAUGACAUCUUUCAUACUCGACGUGAUUUCAACGAAGAUGAUUAUGAAAUGUUGUUGGCUCUUGAUGAGGGAAAUCACCAACAUACUGGUGCAUCCGCCUAUCAGAUCAAUAGUUUGCCACAGUCCACUGUCCAGACUGACAACUUUGCAGAGGCUUGUGCCAUAUGUCUUGAGACCCCAGUAAAGGGGGAAAGUAUUCGCCACCUUCCUUGUUUGCACAAAUUUCACAAAGAUUGUAUUGAUCCUUGGCUCCGUAGGAAAACAUCAUGCCCUGUGUGCAAGUCAUCUAUUGCCUAAUUCAUUUUGGGAUUAAAUGGUUGAUUUACUGUGCUGCAGUGUGUUAUCUCAGCCGUCUCAUUUUGUCUUUCAAGUUUUGGGAUAUGCAUGCAUGUGACACGACUGUUCUCUGAAUCACGGUGUUUGUAUUUGAAGUUUUGAACUUCUACUGCUGGUUGUAAUGAAGUCUGCAAAGCAGUGGCAAGUUUGAAGGCCUUAUUAUUUCUUAAGACAGAUGAGCUACAAAUAUUUUGGUUGACGGAAACAUGAUUUGUGAUGGCAGCUAUCCUGGGAUUCAAAGUUAAUUUGCAUGUGGUUAUAGUUAAACAUGUAUCAUACAAACUGCACUGGCAAGAUCGUGGCUAUUUUUCCAUUUUGAGGGCAUGCUGCUUGCAUAUAAUGAUCCACAUUGAGGCCAUGCCAAGUGCAAAGUAGCAUAAACCCAGUUAUCACAUUUUUUAUUUGCCUCAUCCGGUUGGGUAAUAUACCCUUGAAAAUAAAAGAAAAA